GGGUUGUGAGGUUAAGUGACUAAGCGUACACGGUGGAUGCCUAGGCAGUCAGAGGCGAUGAAGGGCGUGCUAAUCUGCGAAAAGCGUCGGUAAGGUGAUAUGAACCGUUACAACCGGCGAUACCCGAAUGGGGAAACCCAGUGUGUUUCGACACACUAUCAUGUCAUGAAUACAUAGUGGCAUGAGGCGAACCGGGGGAACUGAAACAUCUAAGUACCCCGAGGAAAAGAAAUCAACCGAGAUUCCCCCAGUAGCGGCGAGCGAACGGGGAGGAGCCCAGAACCUGAAUCGGCUUGUGUGUUAGUGGAAGCGUCUGGAAAGUCGCGCAGUAAAGGGUGAUAGCCCCGUACACUAAAAUGCACAGGUCGUGAGUUCGAUGAGUAGGGCGGGACACGUGACAUCCUGUCUGAAUAUGGGGGGACCAUCCUCCAAGGCUAAAUACUCCUGACUGACCGAUAGUGAACCAGUACCGUGAGGGAAAGGCGAAAAGAACCCCGGCGAGGGGAGUGAAAUAGAACCUGAAACCGUGUACGUACAAGCAGUGGGAGCACCUUCGUGGUGUGACUGCGUACCUUUUGUAUAAUGGGUCAGCGACUUAUAUUUUGUAGCAAGGUUAACCGUAUAGGGGAGCCGUAGGGAAACCGAGUCUUAACUGGGCGAAUAGUUGCAAGGUAUAGACCCGAAACCCGGUGAUCUAGCCAUGGGCAGGUUGAAGGUUGGGUAACACUAACUGGAGGACCGAACCGACUAAUGUUGAAAAAUUAGCGGAUGACUUGUGGCUGGGGGUGAAAGGCCAAUCAAACCGGGAGAUAGCUGGUUCUCCCCGAAAGCUAUUUAGGUAGCGCCUCGUGAACUCAUCUUCGGGGGUAGAGCACUGUUUCGGCUAGGGGGCCAUCCCGGCUUACCAAACCGAUGCAAACUCCGAAUACCGAAGAAUGUUAUCACGGGAGACACACGGCGGGUGCUAACGUCCGUCGUGAAGAGGGAAACAACCCAGACCGCCAGCUAAGGUCCCAAAGUCAUGGUUAAGUGGGAAACGAUGUGGGAAGGCAUAGACAGCCAGGAUGUUGGCUUAGAAGCAGCCAUCAUUUAAAGAAAGCGUAAUAGCUCACUGGUCGAGUCGGCCUGCGCGGAAGAUGUAACGGGGCUAAACCAUGCACCGAAGCUGCGGCAGCGACGCUUAGGCGUUGUUGGGUAGGGGAGCGUUCUGUAAGCCGUUGAAGGUGGCCUGUGAGGGUUGCUGGAGGUAUCAGAAGUGCGAAUGCUGACAUAAGUAACGAUAAAGCGGGUGAAAAGCCCGCUCGCCGGAAGACCAAGGGUUCCUGUCCAACGUUAAUCGGGGCAGGGUGAGUCGACCCCUAAGGCGAGGCUGAAAAGCGUAGUCGAUGGGAAACAGGUUAAUAUUCCUGUACUUGGUGUUACUGCGAAGGGGGGGACGGAGAAGGCUAGGCUAGCCGGGCGACGGUUGUCCCGGUUUAAGCGUGUAGGGGGUGUGACCUGGUAAAUCCGGUUACAUAUCAACCCUGAGGCGUGAUGACGAUGCACUACGGUGCAGAAGUAGUUGAUGCCCUGCUUCCAGGAAAAGCCUCUAAGCUCUAGGUAACAUUGAAUCGUACCCCAAACCGACACAGGUGGUCAGGUAGAGAAUACCAAGGCGCUUGAGAGAACUCGGGUGAAGGAACUAGGCAAAAUGGUGCCGUAACUUCGGGAGAAGGCACGCUGGCAUGUAGGUGAAGUCCCUUGCGGAUGGAGCUGAAGCCAGUCGAAGAUACCAGCUGGCUGCAACUGUUUAAUAAAAACACAGCACUGUGCAAACACGAAAGUGGACGUAUACGGUGUGACGCCUGCCCGGUGCUGGAAGGUUAAUUGAUGGGGUCAGCCGCAAGGCGAAGCUCUUGAUCGAAGCCCCAGUAAACGGCGGCCGUAACUAUAACGGUCCUAAGGUAGCGAAAUUCCUUGUCGGGUAAGUUCCGACCUGCACGAAUGGCGUAAUGAUGGCCAGGCUGUCUCCACCCGAGACUCAGUGAAAUUGAACUCGCUGUGAAGAUGCAGUGUACCCGCGGCAAGACGGAAAGACCCCGUGAACCUUUACUAUAGCUUGACACUGAACAUUGAGCCUUGAUGUGUAGGAUAGGUGGGAGGCUUUGAAGCGUGGACGCCAGUCUGCGUGGAGCCAUCCUUGAAAUACCACCCUUUAAUGUUUGAUGUUCUAACUCGGCCCCAUAAUCUGGGGUGAGGACAGUGUCUGGUGGGUAGUUUGACUGGGGCGGUCUCCUCCCAAAGAGUAACGGAGGAGCACGAAGGUUAGCUAAUCACGGUCGGACAUCGUGAGGUUAGUGCAAAGGCAUAAGCUAGCUUGACUGCGAGAGUGACGGCUCGAGCAGGUACGAAAGUAGGUCUUAGUGAUCCGGUGGUUCUGAAUGGAAGGGCCAUCGCUCAACGGAUAAAAGGUACUCCGGGGAUAACAGGCUGAUACCGCCCAAGAGUUCAUAUCGACGGCGGUGUUUGGCACCUCGAUGUCGGCUCAUCACAUCCUGGGGCUGAAGUAGGUCCCAAGGGUAUGGCUGUUCGCCAUUUAAAGUGGUACGCGAGCUGGGUUUAGAACGUCGUGAGACAGUUCGGUCCCUAUCUGCCGUGGGCGUUGGAAGAUUGAGAGGGGUUGCUCCUAGUACGAGAGGACCGGAGUGAACGCACCACUGGUGUUCGGGUUGUCAUGCCAAUGGCAUUGCCCGGUAGCUAAGUGCGGAAAAGAUAAGCGCUGAAAGCAUCUAAGCGCGAAACUUGCCUCAAGAUGAGUCUUCCCUGGGCCUUUAAGGUCCCUGAAGGAACGUUUAAGACUAAGACGUUGAUAGGCUGGGUGUGUAAGUGCAGCGAUGCAUUGAGCUAACCAGUACUAAUGAUCCGUGAGGCUUAACCUUACAACACCGAAGGUGUUU
rnacentral:rRNA from 1 species